GAUGAACGCUGGCGGCGUGCCUAAUACAUGCAAGUCGAGCGAAUGGAUUAAGAGCUUGCUCUUAUGAAGUUAGCGGCGGACGGGUGAGUAACACGUGGGUAACCUGCCCAUAAGACUGGGAUAACUCCGGGAAACCGGGGCUAAUACCGGAUAACAUUUUGAACCGCAUGGUUCGAAAUUGAAAGGCGGCUUCGGCUGUCACUAUGGAUGGACCCGCGUCGCAUUAGCUAGUUGGUGAGGUAACGGCUCACCAAGGCAACGAUGCGUAGCCGACCUGGGAGGGGGAACGGCCACACUGGGACAGAGACACGGCACAGACGCCUACGGGAGGCAGCAGUAGGGAAUCUUCCGCAAUGGACGAAAGUCUGACGGAGCAACGCCGCGUGAGUGAUGAAGGCUUUCGGGUCGUAAAACUCUGUUGUUAGGGAAGAACAAGUGCUAGUUGAAUAAGCUGGCACCUUGACGGUACCUAACCAGAAAGCCACGGCUAACUACGUGCCAGCCGCCGCAGUAA
rnacentral:rRNA from 1 species